GAUGAACGCUGGCGGCGUGCCUAAUACAUGCAAGUCGAGCGAACGGACGAGAAGCUUGCUUCUCUGAUGUUAGCGGCGGACGGGUGAGUAACACGUGGAUAACCUACCUAUAAGACUGGGAUAACUUCGGGAAACCGUAGCUAAUACCGGAUAAUAUUUUGAACCGCAUGGUUCAAAAGUGAAAGACGGUCUUGCUGUCACUUAUAGAUGGAUCCGCGCUGCAUUAGCUAGUUGGUAAGGUAACGGCUUACCAAGGCAACGAUGCAUAGCCGACCUGAGAGGGUGAUCGGCCACACUGGAACUGAGACACGGUCCAGACUCCUACGGGAGGCAGCGGUAGGGAAUCUUCCGCAAAGGGCGAAAGCCUGACGGAGCAACGCCGCGUGAGUGAUGAAGGUCUUCGGAUCGUAAAACUCUGUUAUUAGGGAAGAACAUAUGUGUAAGUAACUGUGCACAUCUUGACGGUACCUAAUCAGAAAGCCACGGCUAACUACGUG
rnacentral:rRNA from 1 species